UACGUAGGUGGCAAGCGUUAUCCGGAAUUAUUGGGCGUAAAGCGCUCGCAGGCGGUUUCUUAAGUCUGAUGUGAAAGCCCACGGCUCAACCGUGGAGGGUCAUUGGAAACUGGGGAACUUGAGUGCAGAAGAGAAAAGCGGAAUUCCACGUGUAGCGGUGAAAUGCGUAGAGAUGUGGAGGAACACCAGUGGCGAAGGCGGCUUUUUGGUCUGUAACUGACGCUGAGGCGCGAAAGCGUGGGGAGCAAACAGG
rnacentral:rRNA from 1 species